GAUGAACGCUGGCGGCGUGCCUAAUACAUGCGAGUCGAGCGAACAGACGAGGAGCUUGCUCCUCUGACGUUAGCGGCGGACGGGUGAGUAACACGUGGAUAACCUACCUAUAAGACUGGGAUAACUUCGGGAAACCGGAGCUAAUACCGGAUAAUAUAUUGAACCGCAUGGUUCAAUAGUGAAAGACGGUUUUGCUGUCACUUAUAGAUGGAUCCGCGCCGCAUUAGCUAGUUGGUAAGGUAACGGCUUACCAAGGCAACGAUGCGUAGCCGACCUGAGAGGGUGAUCGGCCACACUGGAACUGAGACACGGUCCAGACUCCUACGGGAGGCAGCAGUAGGGAAUCUUCCGCAAUGGGCGAAAGCCUGACGGAGCAACGCCGCGUGAGUGAUGAAGGUCUUCGGAUCGUAAAACUCUGUUAUUAGGGAAGAGCAAAUGUGUAAGUAACUAUGCACGUCUUGACGGUACCUAAUCAGAAAGCCACGGCUAACUACGUG
rnacentral:rRNA from 1 species